UGAGGCAUGCAAGUCGAACGGAAUAAUGACUUCGGUUGUUAUUUAGUGGCGGAAGGGUUAGUAAUACAUAGAUAAUCUGCCCUCAACUUGGGAAUAACGAUUGGAAACGAUCGCUAAUACCGAAUGUAGUGUAUUUAGGCAUCUAACAUAUAUUAAAGAAGGGGAUCUUCGGACCUUUCGGUUGGGGAAGAGUUUAUGCGAUNAUCAGCUUGUUGGUGGGGUAAAAGCCUACCAAGGCUAUGACGUCUAGGCGGAUUGAGAGAUUGACCGCCAACACUGGGACUGAGACACUGCCCAGACUCCUACGGGAGGCUGCAGUCGAGAAUCUUUCGCAAUGGACGAAAGUCUGACGAAGCGACGCCGCGUGUGUGAUGAAGGCCUUAGGGUUGUAAAGCACUUUCGCCUGGGAAUAAGAGAGAUUGGCUAAUAUCCAAUCGAUUUGAGCGUACCAGGUAAAGAAGCACCGGCUAACUCCGUGCCAGCAGCUGCGGUAAUACGGAGGGUGCUAGCGUUAAUCGGAUUUAUUGGGCGUAAAGGGCGUGUAGGCGGAAAGGAAAGUUAGAUGCUAAAUUCUGGGGCUCCACCCCAAGUCAGCAUUUAAAACUAUCUUUCUAGAGGAUAGAUGGAGAAAAGGGAAUUCCACAUGUAGCGGUGAAAUGCGUAGAUAUGUGGAAGAACACCAGUGGCGAAGGCGCUUUUCUAAUUUAUACCUGACGCUAAGGCGCGAAAGCAAGGGGAGCAAACAGGAUUAGAUACCCUGGUAGUCCUUGCCGUAAACGAUGCAUACUUGAUGUGGAUGGUCUCAACCCCAUCUGUGUCGGAGCUAACGUGUUAAGUAUGCCGCCUGAGGAGUACACUCGCAAGGGUGAAACUCAAAAGAAUUGACGGGGGCCCGCACAAGCAGUGGAGCAUGUGGUUUAAUUCGAUGCAACGCGAAGGACCUUACCUGGACUUGACAUGUAUUUGACAGCUAUAGAAAUAUAGUCUUCCGCAAGGACAGAUACACAGGUGCUGCAUGGCUGUCGUCAGCUCGUGCCGUGAGGUGUUGGGUUAAGUCCCGCAACGAGCGCAACCCUUAUCGUUAGUUGCCAGCACUUAGGGUGGGAACUCUAACGAGACUGCCUGGGUUAACCAGGAGGAAGGCGAGGAUGACGUCAAGUCAGCAUGGCCCUUAUGUCCAGGGCGACACACGUGCUACAAUGGUUAGUACAGAAGGUAGCAAGAUCGUGAGAUGGAGCAAAUCCUAAAAGCUAACCCCAGUUCGGAUUGUAGUCUGCAACUCGACUACAUGAAGUCGGAAUUGCUAGUAAUGGCGUGUCAGCCAUAACGCCGUGAAUACGUUCCCGGGCCUUGUACACACCGCCCGUCACAUCAUGGGAGUUGGUUUUACCUUAAGUCGUUGACUCAACCUAUUUAUAGG
rnacentral:rRNA from 1 species